GAGAACGAGAGGGCGGAUGUAGCCAAGUGGAUCA
rnacentral:tRNA from 66 species